rnacentral:rRNA from 1 species
AGUGAACGCUGGCGGCAGGCCUAACACAUGCAAGUCGAGCGGCAGCGGGUCCCCGCGAGGGGAUGCCGGCGAGCGGCGGACGGGUGAGGAACACAUCGGAAUCUGCCUGGUUGUGGGGGAUAACGUAGGGAAACUUACGCUAAUACCGCAUGCGACCCUGAGUCGACGGACUGGGGGUGAAAGUGAGGGACCUUCGGGCCGUCACGCGACCAGAUGAGCCGAUGUCGGAUUAGCUAGUUGGCGGGGUAACGGCCCGCCAAGGCGACGAUCCGUAGCUGGUCUGAGAGGAUGAUCAGCCACACUGGGACUGAGACACGGCCCAGACUCCUACGGGAGGCAGCAGUGGGGAAUCUUGGACAAUGGGCGCAAGCCUGAUCC